GACGUAGGGCGCGAGCGUUGUCCGGAUUUAUUGGGCGUAAAGAGCUCGUAGGCGGCUUGUCGCGUCGUCCGUGAAAACCUGCAGCUCAACUGCAGGCUUGCGGUCGAUACGGGCAGGCUAGAGUUCGGUAGGGGGAGACUGGAAUUCCUGGUGUAGCGGUGAAAUGCGCAGAUAUCAGGAGGAACACCGGUGGCGAAGGCGGCCUUCUGGACCAAUACUGACGCUCAUGCACGAAAGCGUGGGGAGCAAA
rnacentral:rRNA from 1 species